ACAGACUCUUAUCGCUGAGCCUACCUGCUGCUAGGAAUGUCGACGUAACAAGAAAAAGUUCACUGGUACGAUUUUUAUCUGUUGACGUGCAGAACCUGGCAUGUGUAAUCAAGCGCAGACGAUACAGAUUUAUUCUUGUGUAAAGGCGCUUCUUUUGCUUCUGAGAGAAAUACCUAGCAGAUACCGAAUGUAUGGACAGAUGUUAUGGACAUAUGGUGUUUAUUUCCUGGUCUUGUGGAAUGAUGAAACCAUGAGCUUUUCUGUCAUAAUUUAACUUUAUGUCCCAUGUAGAUGGGAUUUGAACCGGAGACGACUCAGAGAUUUCAAAAGGGGAUGAUUUAGAUGCAAUUGUGCCUUGAACUGAUUGUGUCUCCAGGAUACUGCAACACAGAGAUGUAUACGUUUUUUAAAAAUAUAACCACAUAUUACUGAAUAUUUUUAA